UACGAGAGGCCCAAACGUUAUUCGGAAUUACUGGGCUUAAAGAGUUCGUAGGCGGCAUGGUAAGUAGGGUGUGAAAUCCCUCGGCUCAACCGAGGAAUUGCGCUCUAAACUACCGUGCUAGAGGAAGCUAGAGGUGAGCGGAACUGAUGGUGGAGCGGUGAAAUGCGUUGAUAUCGGGAGGAACACCUGUGGCGAAAGCGGCGCACUGGACCAUAACUGACGCUGAUGCGCGAAAGCUAGGGGAGCAAACAGG
rnacentral:rRNA from 1 species